rnacentral:lncRNA from 1 species
UUAUCAUCCAUGGCAAAUUGCUCUUUGCCCUAAAAUCUGUUCUUCCCUUCAUCCUGGACAUACCCAUUCCACCCCCAGCUAGAGACUACAUUUCUCAGCCUCCUUUGUGGCUAGGUGGCCAUUGACUAAAUUCUCAUCCACGGAAUGGGACGAUGUAAUAUGUACGCUUAUUUAAAAAGAAAUUGCUACUCUGACCUUCGUCUCUUUCUUCUUCCCAUGAGCUAAAACGUGGAUAUGUCCGUGACCCAACUUCAACCAACCAUGCAACGUCAAUGACCCAGGGGAUGCUGGAGCAACAGGAAGGAAGGAAUUGAUUGAACAAUCACGUGGAGCAAAGCCACGUUGUUAUUUAGGGCUACUACUUAAAUCAGAGAUCAUCUCUGUCUUCUUUAAGCCACUCCAGUUUGGAGGCUUUUUGUUCUAACAGCUUAGUGUUUACCUAAACUAGUGCGACAUCGCCCUUCUCAUUAGCAUUCCUGCCUCCCUUUCAAUCUUAUCAGUAGUCACAUCUCCAAAUGCUCCCUGUCCUCCAAAUAUAAAUUAUAAAUCUUCCAAUUCUGUAGUAAGACCACACAUAAAAACACUUUCCUGCCUUUUUACAGAUGGUGUUGGUAACUGCCUCCCUGCCAUUCAUUCUCCCUUCUCCUGGCAACAAUAUUUUGAUACCCCUUGGAGGAACUUACCUCUCUCUCAUUCUUUGACAUGUGAUUAGAAUGAGAAUGAACCCCUUCCAGUUCUGGGGAUAGUUCUUGACUGGCUGAAGCCAUUGAAAUAGCUUUUUCCUGUGGAGGCUCGGAAGACAAUACUCCAAAGGACUGCAUUUUGCCAAGCAUAGAAACUAG